ensembl:lncRNA novel transcript, antisense to EHBP1
CUGCAACCUCCACCUCCUGGGUUCAAGCAAUUCUCCUUCCUCAGUCUCCCAAGUAGCUGGGAUUACAGGUGUGCACCACCAUGCCUAGUUAAUUUUUGUAUUUUUAGUAAAGACGGGGUUUCACCAUGUUGGCCAGGCUGGUCUCAAACUCCCACACCCCCAACCUCAGGUGAUCUGCUUGCCUCAGCCUCUCAGUGUUGGGAUUACAGGCAUGAGCCACUGUGCCCGGCUGCAGGUUUGGAAUUAUUAACAAAGCUGUUACAAAUAUUUUUACACCUAUAUCCUGGUACACAUGCACAAUAAUUUAUCUGGGAAAUAUUUCUAGGAUGGGAAUAGCCAGGUCAUAGGAUAUGUACAUGUACACCUUUAUCGGAAAAUACCAAAUUGUAUUCCAAAAAGGCUGUAUUAGUUUGUACUUUCUAAGAGUUUCCCAUUCUCCCACAUUCUUUAGAUUUUUUGUUAAACUUUAAUCUCUUAUGAGGUAAAUUAAUAGAUUUUUCCAAAAUUAAAGCAACUCCACAUUCCUUGGAGAUAGCCAACCAGGUCGUGAUGUACUUCUUUAUAUUAAAAUAUAUUUCUGGCUUUGGAGGUCUAAUGUUUUGCAUGGGAUUUCUGUAUAUUCAUGGAGCAUAUAGGCCUAUGAUUUUCCUUUCUUUUAUGCUCCCUGGUUACAUUAGCCUCAUAAAAUGAGCUGCGGCAUCCUUUCCCAUUCUCUGAAAGACUUAAAGACUCCCUAAGUGAGUUUAAAUAUUUUCUCCCCACCCAGGAAUUUAUCCAUCUCAUCUAAGAUUUCAAAUUUACUAAAGUACAAUAAUUUAAUAUAUCUUUUUAUUACAUUGAUCUCUGCAAAAUAUAUGGUCUUGUACAUUUUUCAUUACCAAUACUAUUUAUUUGUGCCUUUUCUCCUUUGUUCCCAAAUGAUUCUUGCUAUAAAUUGGUUAUUUCAUUAGACUUUCCAAAUCAACAACUUGUGAUUUUGUGAUUCUUUCUAGUCAAUGUUUUCUAUUUCAGUAGUUUCUGCCAUCUUUAUCAUUUCCUUCCUCCCACUUUCCUUGGGUAUAUUCUGUUCUAACUCCUGAAUUUUGAGCAGUUCUUCUUUGCUGAUAUAAGCAGUUAAGGCUAUACAGUCAUGCAUCCUUUAAUGACAGGGAUACGUUCUGAGAAAUGCAUCAUUGUGUGAACAUCAAAGAGUGUACUUUCACAACUCUAGGUGGUACAGCCUACUACACACCUAAGCUAUGUGGUAUAGCCUAUUGCUCUGAAGCUACAAACCUGUACAGCAUGUUACUGUACUGAAUACUUUAGGCAAUCCUAACACAAUGGUAGGUUUUGUGCAUCUAAACAUACGUAAACUUGGAAAAGGUGCAGUAAAAAUACAGGGGUACUUAAAAAAUAUUUAACUGCUGUGUAUAUACUGCUGUCCACUUUUAUGACAGGAGCAUUUUUAUGUAAAAUCACUUGUAUCACCGAAUUAUUAUAUUUUCUAUGUGAUAAGGAAAGUAGGAGUAGAAAUUUUCAAAUGUGAGAUCAUGGAAUAUUUUACUAAAGUGCACGAAUCAAGGAACAAAUAAGUGAAAGAGUUGAGGAGCUGCUCAUAAUCUGGGCAAAAUUCCAAGUAACAAACCUUAUAAUAAACCUCUUUUUUCAAUUUACCACCCCUCCCUCUGAAC